rnacentral:rRNA from 1 species
GGGUGACSAWGCGACGCCGCGUGAGUGAGGAAGGCCUUCGGGUUGUAAAGCUCUGUCAGGAGUUAAGAAAUGUAAGUGUGCUAAUACCACAUUUAUUUGACGAAGGCUCCAAAGGAAGCCACGGCUAACUCUGUGCCAGCAGCCGCGGUAAUACAGAGGUGGCAAGCGUUGUUCGGAAUUAUUGGGCGUAAAGAGCACGUAGGUGGGUUUGUAAGUCAGAUGUGAAAGCCUUCUGUUCAACGGAAGAAUUGCAUCUGAAACUGCGAGUCUUGAGUGUAGGAGGGGAGAAUGGAACUUCUGGUGGAGCGGUGAAAUGCGUAGAUAUCAGAAGGAACGCCGGCGGCGAAAGCGAUUCUCUGGCCUAUUACUGACGCUCAGUGUGCGAAAGCUAGGGGAGCAAACGGGAUUAGAUACCCCGGUAGUCCUAGCCGUAAACGAUGGGCACUAAGUAGAGGGAAUUACCGAUGUUCUCUCUGCCGUAGCUAACGCAUUAAGUGCCCCGCCUGGGGAGUACGGCCGCAAGGCUAAAACUCAAAAGAAUUGACGGGGGCUCGCACAAGCGGUGGAGCAUGUGGCUUAAUUCGAUGCAACGCGAAGAACCUUACCGGGGCUUGACAUGGUAGAAGUAGGAACCCGAAAGGGUAACGAACGGUAUCCAGUCCGUAACUAUCACAGGUGUUGCAUGGCUGUCGUCAGCUCGUGUCGUGAGACGUUGGGUUAAGUCCCCUAACGAGCGAAACCCUUGUUUUUAGUUACCAGCGGGUUGUGCCGGGUACUCUAGAAAGACUGCCGUCGUCAAGACGGAGGAAGGUGGGGAUGACGUCAAGUCAUCAUGGCCCUUAUGCCCCGGGCUGCACACGUGCUACAAUGGUCGGUACAAACGGAAGCGAAGCC